AAAUCCAGGAUUUGGGCAAUCUUCCAUGUUUCUUAACGCAGUCUAAAACCAUGGAAUUGAUGGGCAAUUUUGAAUUAAGUUUGUGAAAUCCAUAUGUUGAGGGAGAGGGAUUUCACAAAAUCCCACGUACUAGGCUGGUUUCAAAUCCUUUUAUUUUGAAGAAUUCAUCAAAAUACAUGGAUUUUCUCAUUCUUUAUCUAUAUUGAUGGUUUUCUCUAGUUCCAUGGGCAAAGGCUCUUGGUCCACAUGACGACGAGGAUGAGGACUCAAAUGAUGACUAUAGCGAUGAAGAAGAGUCGCAAUCACCAAUUGACAAGGUGGAUCCUUUUAUUUUCUUUGUGCAUACUGUCAAAGUGAUGCAAGCAUCAGAUCCAUUGAGGUUCUAGAAUACAAACACUGGACUUCCAUCACCAAGAGCUAGCAAAUGGUGUUGCCUAGCAUGUUGAGCAGAGGAGAGCAGUGAUUGAAAGGGAAAGAAUGGAAAAAGCAAAUAAUGUUUAGAAUAAUAGUUUUUUUUUAAUAGAUGUAAUCUUAAUUUAAUUUGCUUGUU